rnacentral:rRNA from 1 species
UUAAGCGACUAAGCGUACACGGUGGAUGCCCUGGCAGUCAGAGGCGAUGAAGGACGUGCUAAUCUGCGAAAAGCGUCGGUAAGGUGAUAUGAACCGUUAUAACCGGCGAUGUCCGAAUGGGGAAACCCAGUGCAAUUCGUUGCACUAUCGUUAACUGAAUACAUAGGUUAACGAGGCGAACCGGGGGAACUGAAACAUCUAAGUACCCCGAGGAAAAGAAAUCAACCGAGAUUCCCCCAGUAGCGGCGAGCGAACGGGGAGCAGCCCAGAGUCUGAAUCAGCUUGUGUGUUAGUGGAACGGUCUGGAAAGUCCGACGGUACAGGGUGAUAGUCCCGUACACCAAAAUGCACAGGCUGUGAACUCGAAGAGUAGGGCGGGACACGUGGUAUCCUGUCUGAAUAUGGGGGGACCAUCCUCCAAGGCUAAAUACUCCUGACUGACCGAUAGUGAACCAGUACCGUGAGGGAAAGGCGAAAAGAACCCCGGCGAGGGGAGUGAAAAAGAACCUGAAACCGUGUACGUACAAGCAGUGGGAGCACCUUCGGGUGUGACUGCGUACCUUUUGUAUAAUGGGUCAGCGACUUAUAUUCUGUAGCAAGGUUAACCGUAUAGGGGAGCCGCAGGGAAACCGAGUCUUAACUGGGCGUUAAGUUGCAGGGUAUAGACCCGAAACCCGGUGAUCUAGCCAUGGGCAGGUUGAAGGUUGGGUAACACUAACUGGAGGACCGAACCGACUAAUGUUGAAAAAUUAGCGGAUGACUUGUGGCUGGGGGUGAAAGGCCAAUCAAACCGGGAGAUAGCUGGUUCUCCCCGAAAGCUAUUUAGGUAGCGCCUCGUGAAUUCAUCUUCGGGGGUAGAGCACUGUUUCGGCUAGGGGGUCAUCCCGACUUACCAACCCGAUGCAAACUACGAAUACCAAAGAAUGUUAUCACGGGAGACACACGGCGGGUGCUAACGUCCGUCGUGAAGAGGGAAACAACCCAGACCGCCAGCUAAGGUCCCAAAGUCAUGGUUAAGUGGGAAACGAUGUGGGAAGGCACAGACAGCCAGGAUGUUGGCUUAGAAGCAGCCAUCAUUUAAAGAAAGCGUAAUAGCUCACUGGUCGAGUCGGCCUGCGCGGAAGAUGUAACGGGGCUAAACCAUGCACCGAAGCUGCGGCAGCGACACUAUGUGUUGUUGGGUAGGGGAGCGUUCUGUAAGCCUGCGAAGGUGUGCUGUGAGGCAUGCUGGAGGUAUCAGAAGUGCGAAUGCUGACAUAAGUAACGAUAAAGCGGGGUGAAAAGCCCGCUCGCCGGAAGACCAAGGGUUCCUGUCCAACGUUAAUCGGGGCAGGGUGAGUCGACCCCUAAGGCGAGGCCGAAAGGCGUAGUCGAUGGGAAACAGGUUAAUAUUCCUGUACUUGGUGUUACUGCGAAGGGGGGACGGAGAAGGCUAUGUUAGCCGGGCGACGGUUGUCCCGGUUUAAGCAUGUAGGCUGGUUAUCCAGGCAAAUCCGGAUAAUCAAGGCUGAGGUGUGAUGACGAGGCACUACGGUGCUGAAGUAACAAAUGCCCUGCUUCCAGGAAAAGCCUCUAAGCAUCAGGUAACAUUAAAUCGUACCCCAAACCGACACAGGUGGUCAGGUAGAGAAUACCAAGGCGCUUGAGAGAACUCGGGUGAAGGAACUAGGCAAAAUGGUGCCGUAACUUCGGGAGAAGGCACGCUGGUGUGUAGGUGAAGCCCCUGCGGGUGGAGCUGAGACCAGUCGAAGAUACCAGCUGGCUGCAACUGUUUAUUAAAAACACAGCACUGUGCAAACACGAAAGUGGACGUAUACGGUGUGACGCCUGCCCGGUGCCGGAAGGUUAAUUGAUGGGGUUAUCCGUAAGGAGAAGCUCUUGAUCGAAGCCCCGGUAAACGGCGGCCGUAACUAUAACGGUCCUAAGGUAGCGAAAUUCCUUGUCGGGUAAGUUCCGACCUGCACGAAUGGCGUAAUGAUGGCCAGGCUGUCUCCACCCGAGACUCAGUGAAAUUGAACUCGCUGUGAAGAUGCAGUGUACCCGCGGCAAGACGGAAAGACCCCGUGAACCUUUACUAUAGCUUGACACUGAACAUUGAGCCUUGAUGUGUAGGAUAGGUGGGAGGCUUUGAAGCGUGGACGCCAGUCUGCGUGGAGCCAACCUUGAAAUACCACCCUUUAAUGUUUGAUGUUCUAACGUUGGCCCCUUACCGGGGUUGCGGACAGUGUCUGGUGGGUAGUUUGACUGGGGCGGUCUCCUCCCAAAGCGUAACGGAGGAGCACGAAGGUUAGCUAAUCCUGGUCGGACAUCAGGAGGUUAGUGCAAUGGCAUAAGCUAGCUUGACUGCGAGCGUGACGGCGCGAGCAGGUGCGAAAGCAGGUCAUAGUGAUCCGGUGGUUCUGAAUGGAAGGGCCAUCGCUCAACGGAUAAAAGGUACUCCGGGGAUAACAGGCUGAUACCGCCCAAGAGUUCAUAUCGACGGCGGUGUUUGGCACCUCGAUGUCGGCUCAUCACAUCCUGGGGCUGAAGUAGGUCCCAAGGGUAUGGCUGUUCGCCAUUUAAAGUGGUACGCGAGCUGGGUUUAGAACGUCGUGAGACAGUUCGGUCCCUAUCUGCCGUGGGCGCUGGAGAAUUGAGGGGGGCUGCUCCUAGUACGAGAGGACCGGAGUGGACGCAUCACUGGUGUUCGGGUUGUCAUGCCAAUGGCACUGCCCGGUAGCUAAAUGCGGAAGAGAUAAGUGCUGAAAGCAUCUAAGCACGAAACUUGCCCCGAGAUGAGUUCUCCCUGAGACUUUAAGUCUCCUGAAGGAACGUUGAAGACGACGACGUUGAUAGGCCGGGUGUGUAAGCGCAGCGAUGCGUUGAGCUAACCGGUACUAAUGAACCGUGAGGCUUAACCUU